GAUUUCUCCAUGUCUUAUUCAACCAUUUGCACUCCUCUUUGGAAACUAGAUGCAUUGGUUAACAUUUUUCUAGUGUUUUCCCAUUCUGCAUACUUGGCUAAGUGGAUGUUCUUUCAAUUUGUCGUUGAUAGUGUAUAACCUUUUUAUUUUGUGCAUUGAAAUUUUAAUGGGUAUAAAACAUUGGCAUUCAUGACCACUUAACCUGGGUUUCUAUUUCGAUGAAACAGCCAAUAUCUUUGACAUGAAAAAU
rnacentral:misc_RNA from 1 species